rnacentral:lncRNA from 1 species
ACCAAAUAGAAUAUCAAUAUUCUUUAAACCAUCAAAAUAAAGUAUUUGCUAGUCACAUACCAAAAUAACUACUAGAGAGCAAAAUAAAAGCUACUCUCCCCUAAACAGCAAUCUAAUCACUAUCAGUGGCAUUCUUUGAGUCAGAUCCCUCCUCCAAAUAUAGUCGAAUCCACUGUACAUUGUCUGAAGUGAACUAACAUCCAAGGUGAGUCCGUCAGAAGUUGAUCGAAGAGAUGUGAUAUUCGGUCAUCAUACAAGCCUGCUGCUUGAUAAUUAGGAAUAACUGAGCCUUAAUGGCAACAAAAGAGUAAUAGGACCCGAAGAAGUAGAUGAAAUGAAAAAGAUGGAAGAGAGUCUCGAGGAAACGAUGGAAUGUCAUUUGCAAUAAGAGCAGAGAGUGGAGCAUGAGACCGACUAUGUGUAAUAGUGAGAUGGCCGAUAGGCGGUCCCAACCGCUCAAGACUUCAGGAAAAGCCUCAAGCCCCGAUACUAGAAGCUUUAUCAAACAACCAUAAGGCCGAUCCUUUAUCUUAUGUCUGUCGCUGAAAACCUCCAAUAUAUGAUGUACAAUGAAAUAGGGGAGAUCAAUGGAGUCGUCACGUAGAAUGGCAUAAAGGAAUUGUUCCC